AAGUCGUAACAAGGUAACCGUAGGUGAACCUGCGGUUGGAUCAUUACCAAUUCUUUCUUUUUUCGCAGAAGACUUUGUACUCUUAACUUGGGUCUCAAAAUCGACAUCCUUUGGGAGGUUCGAGAUUGAAUGCACUGAGGAGGGAGGAAGAGUCUUUGCGAAGGAAGUGGAAACCAACUUGUGAACCUGUAAUUGUGCAUUGGCGGCUGUUCAGUGCCUUGUGCUGAACAUGCAUUCAGUUGCGAAGGCCGUCAAUUUGUUUUUCUUAAACACAUCUAAAAGUUUACAUUUCUACUAUUUUUUAUUGUUACUUUCACUAAAAGAAACCAAGAACAACUAUUAACAAUGGAUCUCUUGGCUCUC
rnacentral:misc_RNA from 1 species